AUGACUCCCGCGACGUCGUGCCGGUGUUGCCGCCCACGCACAACCCUCGGCGUGAGACAAGAAGACGGCAACAACGUGUCAGGGCUGUCGCCUAUGCGCGACCUCCGGUGCACUCUCCAUGCAAGACGACGACGUACCUGUGCGCGGUCCCCAGUGCACCUUGUGCCGUCGGGUCCGCCAGCAACCUCAUUGGGCCGGGACUCGGCGGCACGCAUCGUUCGACUCGGCGCACCCCCAUCUACUUACACCAUCGCGGCGCCCAGGCGAGGCACCGCCGCAUCGCGAGGUCAUACUCGCCCCGUCUCACCGGUCCAUGGAGGCGCCAUGGGCUGGUCGGGACUCGUCGACACGCAUCGUUCGACUCGGCGCACCCCCUUCUACUUACACCAUCGGCGGCGCCUGGGCGAGGCUCCGCCGCAUCGCGAGGUCUCCUUCGUCGUUGUCUUGCCGGUCCAUGGAGGCGCCAUGGACUGGCCGGGACUCGCGGACAGGGUCCGUUCGACGCGUCGCGGCGGCGCGGAGCUCGAUGAGUCACGACGACUCGUCGUAACCAUGGAGGCGGCGCAGCACUCGACGAGCAACGAUGACUCGUCGUAG
rnacentral:rRNA from 1 species